rnacentral:lncRNA from 1 species
AACCGUGACAAUACACCUAAGCUAAAAGGUCAACGCACGCCUAAACUAGCAGCUCAACUCAUGAUUGGACUAAUAAUUUAAAACUAAAACUAAAACCUAAACCUAUUUUACAAAUAAAACUCAUAAUUAGGCUAACAACCCUACCCAUCAACUAACGACUUGACGGUAUGCUAUUCCUUCUUUUUUUUAAAGCUUCACUACCAUCGAAAUAUAUAUAACAGUAGUAAAAUUGUAAACUUUUAUUUUUAUACCAUAGUAGUAUGGCUAUGAUUGGAAGGUUGUAGUGUCAGUCAAGUUGGAAAAACUGUUGGCACUUUUUUUCUGAAUCAAUGGAAUUCUUAUCAAACACAUGCAAACGUAUAAAGAAGACUUGAAUAGAUAAUCUUUGAAUUCAAACAAAUCCUAGUCAACUGAACAACGCAUCUACCUCAGCAGUCCUUGGGAAAUGUAUAAAUAGGCAAGCAUUAAACUUUUAUAUAUAAAACCAUCGAGAUCUCUAUUUUUAACUCGGUGGUUUCUUUCACAAGACUUACUUCAAGAACGACAACACAUCCUGACAGUUAAUUCAUUAAUACUAAUACUAUCGAGGAUUCUGUCAUCCAAGUGGAAUGAACAUGGGCAUCAAAGGAAUGUUUCCUCAAAGUGAGAACUAUAGUGUUGCAAGAGCGAAUACUUGGUCGCUUAGAACAAAACGAAUUACUGUCAUUAGGAUAUGCUCAAAAGUGUGGCGCUAUAUCUUGUAUCUAUUGCUACGUUCAUUCAUUGAUCCAACAGCAUGGGUAUAGAAAGAAGACGAUAAGCAGGAGUUGCGCAAACGAAGUUAUGGAGUUUCUUGCAUGCAUGCAUGUUUUGGCAUAAAGCUGGUACUUCGAAAUAUGCCUAUGAAAUCUCUACCUGCUUUGCACCCUAAAUAUAACGUGUCGUCUUGUAGCUGCAUGUGAAUUACAACGAUUGAUAGAUGAAAAACAAAUCGACUUGUUGCCCAUUUCAUCGUUUCAAACGACUGGUAGUGUUGCUUGUGUCCAUAUCCAUACUAUGUCCGUGUGUUUUGCUUUAUUACACUUGGUCAAAGAAAUCUAUAUGAUGUU